CUCGCUGAAAGAUCAGAGUGCAGAGUUAAAAAAAGUGAAACUCUUCACAAGUGGAACCCAUGUGGGAGCAUCAGAAGAGAUCUGGGAGAUGUUGGUGGACAGCUGGCCUGAAGCUUUCUGAGAAAGGGAACUAGUGUCCCAUUCUCUAGUCACAUCAGCCUGCCUGGCAAGUAACAGUAUAGUGGCUCAAAAGCGUCCUUACUCAUCAACAAGAUGCUGCUUUUUGCAACAGAGACAAUUACAUUGAGGAAAUGCAGAGAACCUCUGAUUGUGGGGUGCCCCACCCUAAUUCACAACAUCUAAAACGCAACCUCCUAUACGUAAGGCUCAAGGAACAUCAUGGAAGAUGGACAGAAAUAUUUCAAGAGCCAGAGAACCAGGACGGGACCCUAUGGAGGAGAAGCUUCACCCAGGGAAGCAGGGCUGAACCUACAGAAUGGAGUUGUCUUCCUCAGGACCCCAGCAUCCUUGAGAGGUUAGACAGUUACAAGGCAAACAAGAAUGGCCCUUCUUGGAGAUGAAAGCAUCCUGCCCAUCACAGCAGUGGGCAUGUGGCAUCCAAGUACUGAGUAACUAAUGUGAAUUGCCAAGGGGAUUCCUUUCUGAUCUGUAGAAUUACAUGUGCUUCUGGGUCCUUCGGCUCACGCAAAAUAAGAUGAACAAAAACGUUCCCUCACAAGAACUCACAGCCAGAAGCCCAAGUUUAACACUGAACUCCAAACCCAGUGUCUGAUCCCAAACCAGGUCGCAGUUUGGCAGAGUAAACACUGAGGGACAGUGGCACUGAGCAAGCCAUAGCUUGCUGACACAGAAAGUGGUGACCCCCAACUGGCAAGGCACAGAGCCCAGAUCACACAGCCUCGCCUCACAAGAGAGAAUCCCAAGAUACAGAAAGGUGGCAAAAGGGACUAAGGACACCUAAUUCUGGUCAGGGGUUCCUGUCCUUUGUAUCUAUUGUCCAUGUGUCUUGACUAGUGUCACUAGAAGUGACCCUGAAUAUACUACUGGUCAGUUACAAUUAAAGAUAUACAGGUGGGAACAGGAUGUGUCCUCUUCAUAGACUGGCCAGGAGAGCUAGCUAAGAAAAGGUUUAAAUAGUGUGGGGUUGGGAGGGUCCUGAGGCCACUCAUAUUUUGAGGAUCUCACUGAGAAGCUGUAGGUCCUAAUGGCCAGCUCUGGGAGAGUCUCCUCCAGAACAGAGUGGGGUAAGCUCUACCCUGUACGUGAGCCUCAGAAUCUAGUGGCCCAGCAGCUUCUCCAUUCUUGAGACCUUCACUAACUCCAAGACCUUCUAACCCAUAAGGUAAAAAUGAAUAAAAGGUUUAGCAACAUGUUACAGGAAGUCAGGGUAGGGUCAUAUAAAACUCAAAUUGAGCCACUUGGUGAGGAGCUAGAGUUGUCCAACUCCACUAAGAGACAGAAUCCACCCACAGCAACAACCUCUACUUGGCCAGCAAGAACAUAGAGCCUUGCUACCUAGCCAGAGCUACCACCAUGUAUGGUGGGAUCUGGGCUGCCCUAGACACCUCACAAGAGGUCUCGACCAUCCCAGCCCACUCAGACCUUUCAGAAGCCAACAGACACAAAUUCUACUUAGAGAACAUGACAUUCCUUAGAGCUUUCUCAAAGAUGAGAGGGAGCCAAAGCAUGGAGCGCAGACCUGC